UGAUGAUAUAACAGAAGCCAAUAUGAUCAUCGCAGUUGUAAAAGGGGGUGAAUUUUCAGCACGGAGUGGUCUUAAAACUGUUUCAAUUGCAAAGAAAGAGCCAGCUACCGCUGCAUUGAAACCUGAAGAAAUUCCAGCAGCUGCACCAGCUGCAAUAAGAGCUAUUCUUCUUUCCCGGUUGUUUUCCAUCAUCAUUGAGCAUCCAUAGGCACAUGAUUUCCCUAUAUCUACACUAGGACCUUCAGGACCCAAGGAACAACCAGUGCCCAGAGUUAUAGCAGCUUGAGUGGCCUUCACUGUAGGGAAGAUUCCAGCAAUCAAAUCAAAUCCUUGUCCCUGAGUAGAGCUAGACUGUGUUAUUUGGUCCAAUAUUCCGAGCAGACCAUGCAACAUGCCAACAAUGACUCCACCCAAAACUGGUAUUAAAAGUAUCCGAUGCCAAGUAUCAGCUAGCCUUUGCAAACGAAGCCAAGCAGCACCGUCAUA
rnacentral:misc_RNA from 1 species